GACGAACCGUGCGAACGUUGUUCGGAAUCACUGGGCUUAAAGGGCGCGUAGGCGGGUUGGCAAGUCAGCGGUGAAAGCCUCCAGCUCAACUGGAGAAGUGCCCCUGAUACUGCCAACCUCGAGGGAGGUAGGGGCAUGUGGAACUUCCGGUGGAGCGGUGAAAUGCGUAGAGAUCGGAAGGAACGCCGGUGGCGAAAGCGACGUGCUGGACCUCUUCUGACGCUGAGGCGCGAAAGCUAGGGGAGCGAACGGG
rnacentral:misc_RNA from 1 species